GAAACAGGUGAUUGCAGUUGCUUGUGAAUGAAUUUCGAUUCCCUCAUCACAUAUGGGUUGUGAAGUUGAUAAAUUUCAGAACAAGUUUUUAUUAUAACAUAGGUUGUACUAGUUCUUGUGAAAGAGGAUGUAUCUUGCAUUUUAACAGCACCUGUUGCAAUUAACCAGCAUGUUCUGCAGUGUAUGAAAUUGAAGAGCUACUGUCUUUGUGGAUAUUGUUGCA
rnacentral:misc_RNA from 1 species